AUUUAUUAAUAAUGUGGAGACGCGUGAAUCACUGCUGUUUAUUCAGGAAUUUAUUUGUUUGUUGUAUUAUUGAAUCAACUCUCAAGUUUAUGAAGCUAUCUGUAGAAGUUUAAACACAGUGUUGGCAGGGAAACUUGUGGAAGGCCUUAUUUGUGUCAGAAGAUCGUCGAAAAACAAGGGGUAUCAGAAACUUCAAUCAAUCAUGCAGAACGCGGAUCAUUUAUAAAAAGUGUUUAACUGGAAAUCGAGAGAUCUACUGCGCGCAGAUUGCGUGCGUUCCCAGCGUCAAAUGUACCUUCGACGAGACCGACUGUUGCUUUGACUUCGCUGACACCUCGAUAAGGGGGGUGGGGGCAGUUCCGUAGAUGACCAGGGGCCGUCCUGAGAAUACAGCUAUCUGAAGAAGACUGAACGCUGUAUUUGCAGGGAAACUAUAGG